AUGAAUAAAUUAACUGUAUGCAUACCUCUCUCCUCAGUCCCUUCAGCCUCAGCCUGUUCAGCACCAGGCCGGCCAUCAUUCACUGACUUUACAGCUCAGGCGUUCCUAUUCUGCUCACAAGUCAAGUCGACUGAUGAUGUGGUCUCCAACGAAAGAGACUUUGUGUGCUCCCAACCAAGACCGACUCUGCCCCCAGCGCUUUCAAAGCAGACACCCCCGCUGGGCCUUGGACCGAGAGUCCUUCAACAGAGUACCGGCCAUCCCUCUGGCUAUUGGACCGAUGCGCCGAGCCUGCAGUCCUACCCAGAACACUCGAGGAACCACAACUUCAGGACCUCCUUACUCCCAGACAAAGCAGGCUGAAUGUCUUCAUACGGCUGGAUCCACACAUGUGAGAAUGAGUUGGUGUCUAAAGUUCUGUUUAAAUUUACUCCCAUAAUAUUUAAUAUAUAAAAACCUAACCCUUUAACUUCACCAUCUGACAACGGUCACAUAACUUUAUUACUUUGCUUAUUACAGUCUUCACACUUUCUGUUUUUUUUAUCAUUUGUCGUUGUCUGGAGCUUAAUUUUAAUGUGGAGAACUGAUGGAUCUGUGUAAAGAAAUCACUACUUCAGAAUAUGAGAUUAAAUAUAGAUUUUGAAAUUGAAUAAAUUGAUUUGGAAUUGAUUUGAACUGUUCAAGCCAAACUUGUACAGUUAGAUUUCUGGAAUAAUUCCCUCCGUAU
rnacentral:lncRNA from 1 species